rnacentral:rRNA from 1 species
CGAUCAGUAGGGGUUCUGAGAGGAAGGUCCCCCACAUUGGAACUGAGACACGGUCCAAACUCCUACGGGAGGCAGCAGUGAGGAAUAUUGGUCAAUGGGCGAGAGCCUGAACCAGCCAAGUAGCGUGCAGGAAGACGGCCCUAUGGGUUGUAAACUGCUUUUAUAAGGGAAUAAAGUGAGUCUCGUGAGACUUUUUGCAUGUACCUUAUGAAUAAGGACCGGCUAAUUCCGUGCCAGCAGCCGCGGUAAUACGGAAGGUCCGGGCGUUAUCCGGAUUUAUUGGGUUUAAAGGGAGCGUAGGCCGGAGAUUAAGCGUGUUGUGAAAUGUAGACGCUCAACGUCUGCACUGCAGCGCGAACUGGUUUCCUUGAGUACGCACAAAGUGGGCGGAAUUCGUGGUGUAGCGGUGAAAUGCUUAGAUAUCACGAAGAACUCCGAUUGCGAAGGCAGCUCACUGGGGCGCAACUGACGCUGAAGCUCGAAAGUGCGGGUAUCGAACAGGAUUAGAUACCCUGGUAGUCCGCACGGUAAACGAUGGAUGCCCGCUGUUGGUCUGAACAGGUCAGCGGCCAAGCGAAAGCAUUAAGCAUCCCACCUGGGGAGUACGCCGGCAACGGUGAAACUCAAAGGAAUUGACGGGGGCCCGCACAAGCGGAGGAACAUGUGGUUUAAUUCGAUGAUACGCGAGGAACCUUACCCGGGCUUGAAUUGCAGAGGAAGGAUUUGGAGACAAUGACGCCCCUCGGGGUCUCUGUGAAGGUGCUGCAUGGUUGUCGUCAGCUCGUGCCGUGAGGCGUCGGCUUAAGUGCCAUAACGAGCGCAACCCCUCUCCUUAGUUGCCAUCAGGUUAAGCUGGGCACUCUGGGGACACUGCCACCGUAAGGUGUGAGGAAGGUGGGGAUGACGUCAAAUCAGCACGGCCCUUACGUCCGGGGCUACACACGUGUUACAAUGGCAGGUACAGAGAGACGGUUGUACGUAAGUACGAUCAAAUCCUUAAAGCCUGUCUCAGUUCGGACUGGGGUCUGCAACCCGACCCCACGAAGCUGGAUUCGCUAGUAAUCGCGCAUCAGCCAUGGCGCGGUGAAUACGUUCCCGGGCCUUGUACACACCGCCCGUCAAGCCAUGAAAGCCGGGGGCGCCUAAAGUCCGUGACCGUAAGGAGCGGCCUAGGGCGAAACUGGUAAUUGGGGCUAAGUCGUAACAAGGUA